rnacentral:rRNA from 1 species
GAGCACGUAGGUGGGUUUGUAAGUCAGAUGUGAAAGCCUUCUGUUCAACGGAAGAAUUGCAUCUGAAACUGCGAGUCUUGAGUGUAGGAGGGGAGAAUGGAACUUCUGGUGGAGCGGUGAAAUGCGUAGAUAUCAGAAGGAACGCCGGCGGCGAAAGCGAUUCUCUGGCCUAUUACUGACACUCAGUGUGCGAAAGCUAGGGGAGCAAACGGGAUUAGGUGCCCCGGUAGUCCUAGCCGUAAACGAUGGGCACUAAGUAGAGGGG